CCUACGGGAGGCAGCAGUGGGGAAUAUUGGGCAAUGGAGGAAACUCUGACCCAGCGACGCCGCGUGCGGGAUGAAGGCCUUCGGGUUGUAAACCGCUUUCAGUAGGGAAGAAGCGAAAGUGACGGUACCUACAGAAGAAGCACCGGCUAACUAUGUGCCAGCAGCCGCGGUAAUACAUAGGGUGCAAGCGUUGUCCGGAAUUAUUGGGCGUAAAGAGCUCGUAGGUGGUUCGUCACGUCGGAUGUGAAAAUCUGGGGCUCAACCCCAGACCUGCAUUCGAUACGGGCGAUCUAGAGUGUGGUAGGGGAGACUGGAAUUCCUGGUGUAGCGGUGGAAUGCGCAGAUAUCAGGAGGAACACCAAUGGCGAAGGCAGGUCUCUGGGCCAUUACUGACACUGAGGAGCGAAAGCGUGGGGAGCGAACAGGAUUAGAUACCCUGGUAGUCCACGCCGUAAACGGUGGGCACUAGUUGUGGGAACCUUCCACGGUUUCUGCGACGCAGCUAACGCAUUAAGUGCCCCGCCUGGGGAGUACGAUCGCAAGNUAAACUCAAGGAAUUGACGG
rnacentral:rRNA from 1 species